rnacentral:lncRNA from 1 species
AUGUUUCAUCUCUCUUAUCAUUCUCACUGUCGCUUUUUCUCCAAACCCUAAAUGAACCAAAUGCCGCAUCUUUUUUAGAGAAAUCAAUCGAAACAAAGCCAAAUACGAUGUCACAUUCGACUCAUUCUUUGUUCUUCGUCUUCUCCGAUUGAAGAUUAUUUUCUGAUGUAAUCGUCGCUCCUCUUCAUCAUCAAUCGCAAUAGCGACAAAAGUUUUAAUCGGUUCACGGCUAGGCUCUCUCAUCAUGAUUUUUUAUUGUUCCAUUGGACUUUAAUAUAUAUGCUGGAUAUUCUGAUGAAGAUAUUGACCAACAAGUUAUCAAAAUCAAGGUUUUUUUUUUGUGAAAUGGAAGAUCCUGUAGAACAACAACUUAUCAACAAACAGAACUGAAACUAUUACCCACCAGGUAGUCACGAGUCGAUCUUUUUGCCAAGAGACGGUCAAACAAGGCAUUCCAAAUAUUACUGAUUGUGUGAUGGCUGAACUCGAGAAGCUUGGACAGAAAUAUCGUGUUGCUUUGAGGAACCUAUUUGAAAGGCUUCAUUGCACUCACAAAGGAACUUAUGUUGUUGACUGCUUUUGUUGAAAGUGUUAAUCAGCCCAACAAUCAACUCGAUAUCUAACGGUGUUUGAGGAUAGUCCUUCAUGUUGCAUGCUAUUUUCUUCCACCUUUUGAUCUUGAUGCUUUUUUCUCAAGAACUGGUAAAAGGUCGAGACGGUUUGGUUGAUUAACUUUUAGCUGUCAUAUUUCCAGUGGUUCAGAAACAGCAUCAGCUUCUUGUGACAUUGCUUCUGUGCAAUGCAGCUGCCAUAAAGGUAUUAAAAAAACAAGUUAAAGGAAAUCCACUAAAAGUCGCCCAAAGUGUAUUUAGUGAUGGCACAACCAGCUGGAAAUUCAUGAUGGCUGAGAGGAAAAGUGAAAGUUGUUUCAUCUGGGGACACGGUGAUUAUGGGAAUGACCAAAGUGGAAAUCCCGCCUGAGAAGACUGUUUUGUUGGCUCAUCUUUCGGCUCCAAGACUGGCACGUCGAGGUGGCCAGGAUGACCCGUUUGCAUGGGAUAGCAGAGAAUUUCUACAAAAGCUGUGCAUUGGAAUGGUUCUAAUACAUAGAACCUUCUGCUGCUUUUUCUAAUAUCAUGUUGCAUUCUGUCAUUAUACUUUAUUCUUUCUUUACUAGGAUGUUGUUUUUAGAACGGAAUACACCAUCCCAAAUUUCUCUAGGGAAUUCUGUAGUGUUUUCAUCGGUACUACAAAUGUCGAAAAUGAGAUUGUCACUCAUGGCUGGGCGAAGGCUAAGGAGUUUAAGGGAGAGGUGACUCCUGAGCAUACUGAACUGUUACGCCUUGAAGAACAAGCCAGACAACAAGGCAUAGGUUUAUGGGACAGGUCCCCCGGUUCUGUUGAUGCUGCUAUCAGAAACCUCCCUUCGUCUGCUGUCGGUGAUCCCAACAAUUUAGACGCAAUGGGCCUCUUAGCUGCAAACAAAGGCAAACCGUUGGAAGCUAUUGUAGAACAAGUUCGUGAUGGGAGCUCGCUUCGCGUUUAUCUGCUUCCGAAAUUUCAGUUUGUUCAAGUAUUUGUUGCCGGAAUCCAGAUGUAGAGAAGCCUGAAGAAACGUCUAAAGAACCCGUAGAAUCAUAUGUGCCCAUUCCCAAAGAAGCAAUUCAGAACAAAAAGUGGCUAUCAAGAGUAUAUCUUGCUGGUUGCUGGCUCGACAUUCUGAACAAGAAUUAGACCUUUUAGAGUGAAAAUUCGUUGGUUGAUAUACGGGUCGAUAUCGUUUCAUUACAACCCUUCACACCUAAGAAUUGAAAUUUCACCAGGUAGUUAAGCUCAACGAAGAUAACCAUGGCAUCUAGAAGCAAAAGAGAUGAAAAUUAAAUCAGCUUCGGAUGGAAGAAAAACGUAAGCAAAAUAUUAAACCUAUACCAAUCGGUUGUAAGCAGGCGCAUUUUUCUUUGAACCAUUAUAUACAAGUUUGUCCUUCAUCACCAUCUUUGGGCUUAAUCAUCAUCCUGAUUGAGGUUUCAGGACAAAAAAUUCACCGCGUAAAUCUUUAUUGUUGCUUCGAUUUUGAACUAAUUUGGUGCUGAUGAUGUGAAACUUUCUCGAGAACCAAAACCCCUUUUUUCCUCCACCAUUUCUCAAUGAAGUUAGUUUCUAUAGGGUAAACGCGGAUCCUAAGGUUACUUAGGUACAACGCAUUUUUCUUUGAAGUAACCUUCCUUUCUUUUGUUGCUUCUUCUAACCCAUCAUUGAAACCCUAAAAGAAUAAGACUACACAUCAUCAGGAAGCAAUCCUUAGCCGAUUCAUGGUGUUACUGUCGAUCGGAUCGUUAAUGAUUUUUAUUGUUUUUCAUAUGUAUCUGAUUGAUUGUUUUUAUUCUUCUUUGUUUGUACCAUGUUUGAACAAUCAAUUGUAUCUUAAAAUUGUUACAACUUAUUUGUUUGUAUCUGAACGAUGGUAUAUGAUUUUUAUUUUUCUUA